UUGUCUUAGCCAUCCUUCUUUCCAGGAAUUAUCUGGACAUCCUGUUUUAGGUUUCGGUAGACUAUAUUCACCUGUAGGCCAACGUGCUGAAAGAAAUCUGUAUCUGAAAUUUGUAUCUUACGCCUUACGGAUAAACAUAUUUACAAACGAACAACUUUGUAACAUCUUUGAGUGCAAGUGAUAUAACCGGUUUUAUAUUUUGGUCGGUACAAUUGAUCCAUCAUAACAAGAGUCAACUUUGUUUUCAACAUCCUUGUAUCGUCUUGUAUCGCAUUCAAAACACAGCUCUUUGGAUUUACUUCAAUUGAAUUUGUUAAUUCUGCUGUUUCGAAAGCUUCCAUGUGCCUCGGCAAUUGGUCUCGCCCUGCCAUUGACACAUAGCAUUUGAGGAACUGCUUGACAAAGAGGCUUAGCCAGUAUAGUCUACUUGCAGAAAGGAUUACCGUGAUAAGGGCAAUCGAAUUGUAUUAUGGCAUACCCCAGUCGCAUAGGCGGCCAAAACUCCCACCCCUUGCCACUGGCUUGUCAGACAUUGUAUAUUGUCUCAUAAACCUACUUUUUAAUUUAAAUUACAUUCAAUAAUAAUUAACUAAUUCUUGCGAUAUUUUUAUGUGAAAAAUUAUAACAAAUAUUUUGACUAAA